UACGUAGGGGGCAAGCGUUGUCCGGAAUCAUUGGGCGUAAAGAGCGUGUAGGCGGCCCGAUAAGUCCGCCGUGAAAGUCCAGGGCUCAACCCUGGAAUGCCGGUGGAAACUGUCGGGCUGGAGUCCGGAAGAGGCGAGUGGAAUUCCUGGUGUAGCGGUGAAAUGCGCAGAUAUCAGGAGGAACACCGGUGGCGAAGGCGCCUAUCUGGCCCAAUACUGACGCUGAGGCGCGAAAGCUAGGGGGAGCAAACGGG
rnacentral:rRNA from 1 species